rnacentral:tRNA from 1 species
GGUAAAAUGRCUGAUUAUAGGCGAUAAAUUGUAAAUUUAUUAAUGAUUUUUCUUUCUUUUACUA